rnacentral:rRNA from 1 species
GACGAACGCUGGCGGCGUGCUUAACACAUGCAAGUCGAGCGGAAAGGCCCUGCUUUUGUGGGGUGCUCGAGUGGCGAACGGGUGAGUAACACGUGAGUAACCUGCCCUUGACUCUGGGAUAACUUCAGGAAACUGGGGCUAAUACCGGAUAGGAGCUCCUGCUGCAUGGUGGGGGUUGGAAAGUUUCGGCGGUUGGGGAUGGACUCGCGGCUUAUCAGCUUGUUGGUGGGGUAGUGGCUUACCAAGGCUUUGACGGGUAGCCGGCCUGAGAGGGUGACCGGCCACAUUGGGACUGAGAUACGGCCCAGACUCCUACGGGAGGCAGCAGUGGGGAAUAUUGCACAAUGGGCGGAAGCCUGAUGCAGCAACGCCGCGUGCGGGAUGACGGCCUUCGGGUUGUAAACCGCUUUCGCCUGUGACGAAGCGUGAGUGACGGUAAUGGGUAAAGAAGCACCGGCUAACUACGUG